AACUAUGUGUGUGUGUGUGUGUGUGACUGUCUGCCUCUAACUGUGUGUGUGUGUGUGACAGUCUGCCUGUGACUGUAUAUGUGACUGUCACAUGCAGACAAGCACAUAUACAGUCACAGGCAGACAGUCAUACACACACACAGUUA